CCAAUAGCGUAUAUUAAAGUUGUUGCCGUUAAAAAGCUCGUAGUUGAACUUCGGGGUCUACCCAUUGGUCAGGCUUAAUUGUCUGUACUGGUGAGAUGGAUCUCUACCUUCUGAGGAACUUUCAUGCCAUUUAUUUGGUGUGAUUGGAAAUCAGGACUGUUACUUUGAAAAAAUUAGAGUGUUUAAAGCAGACUAUCGUCUGAAUACAUUAGCAUGGAAUAAUGAAAUAGGACGGACUGAUUCUAUUUCGUUGGUUUCUAGGAUCACCGUAAUGAUUAAUAGGGAUAGUUGGGGGCAUUAGUAUUCAAUUGUCAGAGGUGAAAUUCUUGGAUUUAUUGAAGACUAACUACUGCGAAAGCAUUUGCCAAGGAUGUUUUCAUUAAUCAAGAACGAAAGUUAGGGGAUCGAAGACGAUCAGAUACCGUCGUAGUCUUAACCAUAAACUAUGCCGACUAGGGAUCGGAUGAUGUUAAUUUUUUAAUGACUCAUUCGGCGCCUUACG
rnacentral:rRNA from 1 species